rnacentral:rRNA from 1 species
CGACCGGCGCACGGGUGAGUAACGCGUAUCCAACCUGCCCUUUACUAUGGGACAGCCCGUCGAAAGGCGGAUUAAUACCGUAUGUUGUCAUGUUGAUGCAUAUUUUCAUGACCAAAGGCUUCGGCCGGUAAAGGAUGGGGAUGCGUCUGAUUAGCUUGCCGGCGGGGUAACGGCCCACCGUGGCGACGAUGCGUAGGGGUUCUGAGAGGAAGGCCCCCCACACUGGGACUGAGACACGGCCCAGACUCCUACGGGAGGCAGCAG